GAAAAAUUGGUUGUUUUUGGAUCAAGAAAAAUUCGGGGUUUAGGGUUUCCGCCAUUUCUAAAAUUUCAUGCCAAAUAGGGCAUGAAUCUUUCAAAAUUUGUAGGCAUAUUGAUCUUCAAGCUGUGAAUCAAAAGAUUUUGUUACUAAUUUGUGAUAAUCGUUGAGAAAAACAGACUUUUUUGGAGAUUGAAAGCUUCGGUUCACAAAAACAGGUAAGAACUUUGGGUUUUUUUAUUUUUCCGCCAUUUGAUUUAUUUCAUGGCAUAUUUUGAACAAAAUGAGUUCAAUAAUUAGGGUUUUUAAUCUUUAUUGUGUCUAGUAUGAUUUAAAAUUUUCAAUUUUACGUAAUCUGGUCAAUUACAGCAAGAAAUUUGAUAUGAACAGUGAGAUGU
rnacentral:lncRNA from 1 species